AGCGAACGCUGGCGGCAGGCUUAACACAUGCAAGUCGAACGGGCACUUCGGUGCUAGUGGCAGACGGGUGAGUAACACGUGGGAACGUACCUUUCGGUUCGGAAUAAUCCAGGGAAACUUGGACUAAUACCGGAUACGCCCUUCGGGGGAAAGAUUCAUCGCCGAUAGAUCGGCCCGCGUCUGAUUAGCUAGUUGGUGAGGUAAUGGCUCACCAAGGCGACGAUCAGUAGCUGGUCUGAGAGGAUGAUCAGCCACAUUGGGACUGAGACACGGCCCAAACUCCUACGGGGGGCAGCAGUGGGGAAUAUUGGACAAUGGGCGCAAGCCUGAUCCAGCCAUGCCACGUGAGUGAUGAAGGCCUUAGGGUUGUAAAGCUCUUUUGUCCGGGAAGAUAAUGACUGUACCGGAAGAAUAAGCCCCGGCUAACUUCGUGCCAGCCGCCGCAGUAACAC
rnacentral:rRNA from 1 species